rnacentral:lncRNA from 1 species
GAAACUUCUGUCACUGCUGCUAAACCUGCUGCUACUGCUGCUGCUCCAGAAACAGCUCCUGCUGGGGCCGCUGAUGCCNCACUGACACCUAGUAAAGCAAGAGCAUCCACGGUCGAUGAGGAAGGAACAUUACGCUAUGUCACUGAGACACGCUGUGUCACAACGUUGCCGCCAACUCUACCACCUUCACCUCCAGAAGCUAAACACAAGAACUUCUUCCGCCGAAAAGCCUCCAAGGCAAAGCCUCCACAGAACACGGAAAUCCCAAAAGAAACCACUUCAAUUUUUGAUGACUCCAAGCCAUCUCUGCAUGAGGCCUCUGAUCAGGAACAUUCUAAGCCUGCCAGAGGGAUUUUGAAAAGCUCAGAUGAAAAAAUACCACCAGGUAAAUCUGUUUCCAUCCUUUUGCCAUCGGAAGCAGACAAAACCAAGCCUUCCCCAGAUUAUUUACCAGGGCCUUCUACAACUCAUUUUAGAAGUCAGGAAAUUUCCCCGGUGGCUUCUGACAGUGCAAGCCAGUCACCUGCAGAGAAAAUGGCACCCACGCCUCCAGAGAAAAUGGCACCCACGCCUCCAGAGAAAAUGGCACCCAUUCCGCCAUUGGAAACAGAGGAGGUUUCUGUACCAGUUACCUCUCUGAGAAAUCAGAGGCGGGCACCUCUGUUUGCCAGGACUUUUGCGCCACCACGAAGUGCUGUUAGAAAAGAUUCCACAAAAGAAAAGGAGCACUGUGAGCUUUCCCCAUCUGAAGCAUCAGAAACACCUCUUUCAAAGCCUUCUGCUGCUCAUCCAAAAGACCAGGAGACUCCAGCUGAGAUUAACACCAGCAAGUUUCAGCCACCACCAGAGCAAGCUGUGCCCCUGGAGCAAACAGCUGCCAGUGUGCCUGGUCCAGCCGAUGAAAGUGGACAAAGUGCAACGGGCGGAAGUGUGCCUAAACCGCNACACGAAAGUGUGCCCAGACCACCACAUGAAAGCGUGCCAAAGCCACCAGCUGGCCAGUCUGACGCAGAGCUAGCUUCCUUUCCUGCCACCUCCCUCAAAUCUCAGAAGAGAGCACUUCUGUUUGCCAGGACCAGCGUGCCACCAAAGAAAGCUGCCAAUACAGAUUCUGAAAAAGAACAGGACAGUAGCAAACCUCCUCCUGGGGCAACUCCAGAAACGCCCCCAUCUGAGCCUUCCCCUGCAGCUCAGCAGUCUCCGGGAGCAGACCCAAGCUCUUCACCCACAGAUGAUUCCUCCAAAAAGGAAGCCUCCUUACCUACCUCCUUUCCCACAGCUAGAAGUAACACAGCUGCACUGAUUAGGUAUGGAGAGCGGCACAGUGCUGGUAGAGGAAUGAGCAGGUAUUUCCCCACUGAAAAUAUGUCAUCUUCGCAGCAGAGGCGGAAAACUGCACCACUGCCUGGCGCAAAGUGGGUUCAUAAAGUUCUUUUUUGAAAAAGCAAAUNGAAAUGAUUUUCCAGUUCUACUCUACCAUGUUUGUAUUGAGUCUCCAAGCAGCAAGUGUCGUCAAGUAAAACAUGCCCAUUUAUUAAAGAAAAAAGCAAAUAAANAAUCUCCAACAAUCUGUGCGUAGUGAUUU